GACAGAGGGUGCAAACGUUGUUCGGAAUUACUGGGCGUAAAGCGCGUGUAGGCGGCUAUGUAAGUCGGGCGUGAAAUCCCACGGCUCAACCGUGGAAGUGCACCCGAAACUGCGUAGCUAGAGUCCUGGAGAGGAAGGUGGAAUGCUUGGUGUAGAGGUGAAAUUCGUAGAUAUCAAGCGGAACACCGGUGGCGAAGGCGGCCAGCUGGGCCGGACCUGACGCUGAGACGCGAAGGCGUGGGGAGCGAACGGG
rnacentral:rRNA from 1 species